GGGGUGGACUGACCUCUGGUGUACCGGUUGUAUUACCAAGUGCAUAGCCGGGUAGCCAAGUCGGGACGGGAUAAACGCUGAAGGCAUCUAAGCGUGAAGCCCCCCUCAAGAUAAGAUAUCCCUGACAUAAGUCAAUAAGACCCCUUGAAGACGACGAGGUAGAUAGGUCCGAGGUGGAAGUACAGUAAUGUAUGCAGCUGACGGAUACUAAUAGGUCGAAGGCUUGACCUU
rnacentral:rRNA from 1 species